rnacentral:rRNA from 1 species
GACGAACGCUGGCGGCGUGCUUAACACAUGCAAGUCGAACGAAGAGCGAUGGCAGCUUGCUUCCAUCAAUCUUAGUGGCGAACGGGUGAGUAACGCGUAAUCAACCUGCCCUUCAGAGGGGGACAACAGUUGGAAACGACUGCUAAUACCGCAUACGAUCUAACCUUGGCAUCGAUGAGGGAUGAAAGGUGGACUCUAUUUAUAAGCUAUCACUGAAGGAGGGGAUUGCGUCUGAUUAGCUAGUUGGAGGGGUAACGGCCCACCAAGGCGAUGAUCAGUAGCCGGUCUGAGAGGAUGAACGGCCACAUUGGGACUGAGACACGGCCCAGACUCCUACGGGAGGCAGCAGUGGGGAAUCUUCCGCAAUGGACGGAAGUCUGACGGAGCAACGCCGCGUGAGUGAUGACAGCCUUCGGGUUGUAAAGCUCUGUUAAUCGGGACGAAAGGCCUUCUUGCGAAUAGUUAGAAGGAUUGACGUUACCGGAAUAGAAAGCCACGGCUAACUACGUG